AGGGGCGUAGCUCAGUGGUAGAGCAUGUGCUUAGGAUGCGUGACGUCCUGGGUUCAAUCCCCAGGACCUCCA
rnacentral:tRNA from 1 species